GAUCCUUGAAGACUGAAGUGGAGAAGGGUUGCCACGUGAACAGUAGUUGAAUGUGGGUCAGUCGAUCCUAAGGCACCGGCUAAAGCCGUCUAGACACUGCGGGGAGAUGAGAUACUUAACGGUAUUUUGUCUACCUGGUU
rnacentral:rRNA from 1 species